CCAAUUUUUCAGUAAUCAGCAGCUCUUCUCAUCCGUCAAAACUUAGAUUAAACCUGCUUUCUGGUGCAUUCUUCCAGGAAUCCCCAAGCUGAUAAACUUGCACUUGUAGCCAGAUGCUGCGAUGGUUGAGGCACUGCAUCUUCUCUCUGGGACACUUAGUCAUGGAAAUCUUGGUCUCUGUUCCUAGAUUGCUUGGGGAUAAAAGUUGGGCAUGUUCUCUUCCACAAAGCUGAUAAAACAUCGUGUGUGCAGAAGAUGAUCAAUACAUUUUUAUUAGAAACAGUAGACUUAAAGUCAAUGUCUAAGUAGUUGGCUGCAAUUCAAUGCUUUUCUUGUUUGACUUUCCAGACCUGACAAAUAUGGUUGACUGCACAAUGGUGACAUAUAAUUCAAAUCAAAGGUGUGGUUCUCUGGACAACAGGGAUCUAUGUGACUGGUGCAGGAGGCAAGGCAGGGUGGCUUUCUUUAGAGAUUCUGUAUUCUGCACUGUUGAGGAGUCCAACGUCUCAGAGAACAAACGAUCAUGACAUGCACAAGGGAGUUUAAGGCCACUGGGACGUGCAGUUCCCCGUCACCUGCUGCAGCCCACCGUGCUUGCACACUGAGGUGCCUCACCGUCUAAGACCCAAGCACAGCACAGUGUCCUUCCUCUUCUCCACAGUGUCCUGGAAUCUGCUUCUUACUGUGUGUACAGAACCUGCUGCGACCACACUGCCUGCUCUGUGAAGGCAGGGAAAGCAAGUGCCUGGCUCAGUGCAGGGUACCCCUCCCCAGCCCCUGUACCUGUUGGACGAAGACUCUUUCAAAAAAAUGACGUUAUGAUAUGUCCAAAGCAGUGUGCCAGAAAAGUGUGUUUGUGUGUGUGAGGACGUUGGGAAACAUCUGGGGGUGCUUUGCUUUUCAUAAUGGCUGAGGACUACAGACAAGAAUGGGCAGCCCUCAGGGAACCUGAGCAUCAGCAACAUGGGGAUGCACCUACAGAGUGAAGAGUGUCCUGCCAACACCCAUGAAGCUCUUAAUGAAAACCAGUAGUUUUUCCAUUUAAGAAAAAGCAAACAAAAACAAAAACCAAACUGUUCUCUAUGUUCUCACUAUGCCAAAGUUCUCACAUUAGGAAAAGUCCCCAGACUCAUGGGUGGGUCUUGCAGUUUUAGCCCCCAAUCCCACCGCCCCCACUUUCACCUCCCUGCUCGUGGGGCUGGACCCACCACAUGCUCACUGCCGUGAGAGAUCCG
rnacentral:lncRNA from 1 species